UUUGAGUGCGCCGAGUCCAUUUCUACAUCAUUUCGUGCUGAAACGACUCCGACUCAGUCCGACAGUCUCCAGAUGUGUCGACCAGUCACUUAUACUGAAGCCAAUCCUAUCCAAACCUCUGGAACACUACAUCUACUAUUCUAACUUAACCUAAAAUAUGUUUGAUUGGACGAAAGUGAAGUCUGAUCAAAAGUAGCACUUUUUUAUCAAUUGUUUGGUUUGUAGAAAUGACUAUAAAAGUCAUUUUAUAAAAGUGAAAUGAUAAAGUGAGUUAU
rnacentral:lncRNA from 1 species